rnacentral:rRNA from 1 species
GACGAACGCUGGCGGCGUGCCUAAUACAUGCAAGUAGAACGCUGAAGGAGGAGCUUGCUUCUCCGGAUGAGUUGCGAACGGGUGAGUAACGCGUAGGUAACCUGCCUGGUAGCGGGGGAUAACUAUUGGAAACGAUAGCUAAUACCGCAUAAGAGUAGAUGCCGCAUGACAUUUGCUUAAAAGGUGCAACUGCACCACUACCAGAUGGACCUGCGUUGUAUUAGCUAGUUGGUGAGGUAACGGCUCACCAAGGCAACGAUACAUAGCCGACCUGAGAGGGGGAUCGGCGACACUGGGACGGGGACACGGCCCAGACUCCUACGGGAGGCAGCAGUAGGGAAUCGUCGGCAAUGGACGGAAGUCUGACCGAGCAACGCCGCGUGAGUGAAGAAGGUGUUCGGAUCGUAAAGCUCGGUUGUAAGAGAAGAACGGGUGUGGGAGUGGAAAGUGCGCGCUGGGACGGAAUCUUACCAGAAAGGGACGGCUAACUACGG